AUGCCCCACCCUCUCACUGAUUUCAGAGUACUGUAUAUAGGAACACAUUGUCUGCCUCUUCUCAGUCACCCCCUCUUUUCUGCAGGAAACAGCAGCAGUCACCUCCCUCACAGGUUGCAGCAUAGUACCCUCCCAGUUCUGAAAUGGCACGGCUGACGAUCCUCCAGUGGGGGGCGGUGGUGAGCUUGCUGAGUCUGCUCAUGCGCCAGGCUCAAGGCGAAGGCAUUGUUCCAGCACAACCGCUACCCUCUUUCAGUGACGUGUCCAGUGGAGGACCGUUGACCAAGACACAGUUCCUAGAGGUCAUCAGUAGUUCCCAGUUCAUUGGCUAUUUCCCUGAGGGCGUCAGUGAAGAAUUGGGCAAUGAAUUGAUGAUGGGGUAUGACAAAGAUGGAGAUGAAGAAAUUAACGAAGAGGAGUAUGACGAAUUCUGUGACAGUAUCAGUAUCUCAUUCAAAUAAUUCUGCUAAUUCAUUGCAUGUUUGUAACCAUCAGGCAUAUGUAUAUAAUUAUGUCACUCAACACUGAAUUUUCCCCAUCUAAAUAUUAUUAAAUGUCAUUGCUCUAGAAACCACCUUAUGAACUACUGUAUAAAUUCAGAAAUAGAAACUUUAUAUUCUCAAUGCAACAUGCAAAAAAUGUGCUGUCAUUACUGACACAGGUUUGUUUUUCAUUUUAAGGGUUUAUAACAUGUUUCUGGAUUAUACAUUUGUUAAUGCAUUAAAAAUCUUUAUUCACUAUA